GAUGAACGCUAGCUACAGGCUUAACACAUGCAAGUCGAGGGGAAACGAUAUUGGAAGCUUGCUUCCGAUAGGCGUCGACCGGCGCACGGGUGAGUAACGCGUAUCCAACCUGCCCAUCACUUGGGGAUAACCUUGCGAAAGUAAGACUAAUACCCAAUGAUAUCCCUAGAAGACAUCUGAAGGAGAUUAAAGAUUUAUCGGUGAUGGAUGGGGAUGCGUCUGAUUAGCUUGUUGGCGGGGUAACGGCCCACCAAGGCGACGAUCAGUAGGGGUUCUGAGAGGAAGAGCCCCCACAUUGGAACUUAGACACGGUCCAAACUCCUACGGGAGGGAGCAGUGAGGAAUAUUGGUCGAUGGACGAGAGUCUGAACCAGCCAAGUAGCGUGCAGGAUGACGGCCCUAUGGGUUGUAAACUGCUUUUAUAAGGGAAUAAAGUGAGCCUCGUGAGGCUUUUUGCAUGUACCUUAUGAAUAAGGACCGGCUAAUUCCGUGCCAGCAGCCGCAGUAA
rnacentral:rRNA from 1 species